rnacentral:rRNA from 1 species
CCCCAGUCGAGCGGCGGACGGGUGAGUAACGCGUGGAUGAUCUACCUUUUGGUGGGGGAUAACCCGGGGAAACUCGAGCUAAUACCGCAUGAGAUCGCAAGAUGAAAGGGGCGCAAGUCCCGCCGGAAGAGGAGUCCGCGUCCGAUUAGCUAGUUGGUAGGGUAAUGGCCUACCAAGGCGACGAUCGGUAGCCGGCCUGAGAGGGUGAUCGGCCACACUGGAACUGAGACACGGUCCAG